rnacentral:lncRNA from 1 species
GCUGAAUGGUCGUGUCCCUGUGACAGGUGUUGCGGAGAUACCCUCCACAGUGGAAGAGCUCAGACCCGGAGACGCUGGUGUCUUACUGCGGCCCAGAGCAAGGAUGGGCAGUCCGGUAUUCAGGAGACCUUUCUGCCAUCUGUCCACCUACAGCCUGCUCUGGGCCAUAGCAGCAGUAGCGCUGAGCACAGCUCAAGUGGAAGUGGUGACCCAGGAUGAAAGAAAGCUGCUGCACACAACUGCAUCCUUACGCUGUUCUCUAAAAACAACCCAGGAACCCUUGAUUGUGACAUGGCAGAAAAAGAAAGCCGUAGGCCCAGAAAACAUGGUCACUUACAGCAAAGCCCAUGGGGUUGUCAUUCAGCCCACCUACAGAGACAGGAUAAACAUCACUGAGCUGGGACUCUUGAACACAAGCAUCACCUUCUGGAACACAACCCUGGAUGAUGAGGGUUGCUACAUGUGUCUCUUCAACAUGUUUGGAUCUGGGAAGGUCUCUGGGACAGCUUGCCUUACUCUCUAUGCCCAUAGUACACCUUCACUACAACUAUUUUGAAGACCACCUAAACAUCACGUGCUCUGCAACUGCCCGCCCAGCCCCUGCCAUCUCCUGGAAGGGCACUGGGUCAGGAAUUGAGAAUAGUACUGAGAGUCACUCCCAUUCAAAUGGGACUACAUCUGUCACCAGCAUCCUCCGGGUCAAAGACCCCAAAACUCAGGUUGGAAAGGAAGUGAUCUGCCAGGUUUUAUACUUGGGGAAUGUGAUUGACUACAAGCAGAGUCUGGACAAAGGAUUUUGGUUUUCAGUCCCACUGCUGCUGAGCAUUGUUUCUCUGGUAAUUCUUCUGGUCUUGAUCUCCAUCUUAUUAUACUGGAAACGGCACCGAAAUCAGGAGCGGGGUGAGUCAUCACAGGGGAUGCAAAGAAUGAAAUAAG